rnacentral:rRNA from 1 species
GACGAACGCUGGCGGCGUGCUUAACACAUGCAAGUCGAACGGUAAGGCCCUUCGGGGUACACGAGUGGCGAACGGGUGAGUAACACGUGGGUGAUCUGCCCUGCACUUCGGGAUAAGCCUGGGAAACUGGGUCUAAUACCGAAUAGGACCACGCGCUUCAUGGUGUGUGGUGGAAAGCUUUUGCGGUGUGGGAUGGGCCCGCGGCCUAUCAGCUUGUUGGUGGGGUAAUGGCCUACCAAGGCGACGACGGGUAGCCGGCCUGAGAGGGUGACCGGCCACACUGGGACUGAGAUACGGCCAGACUCCUACGGGAGGCAGCAGUGGGGAAUAUUGCAUAAUGGGCGCAAGCCUGAUGCAGCGACGCCGCGUGAGGGAUGACGGCCUUCGGGUUGUAAACCUCUUUCGCCAGGGACGAAGCGCAAGUGACGGUACCUGGAGAAGAAGGACCGGCCAACUACGUGCCAGCAGCCGCCGUAA